rnacentral:rRNA from 1 species
AUUGAACGCUGGCGGAAUGCUUUACACAUGCAAGUCGAACGGCAGCACGGGGCAACCUGGUGGCGAGUGGCGAACGGGUGAGUAAUACAUCGGAACGUGCCCAAUCGUGGGGGAUAACGUAGCGAAAGUUACGCUAAUACCGCAUACGAUCUACGGAUGAAAGCGGGGGAUCGCAAGACCUCGCGCGAAUGGAGCGGCCGAUGUCAGAUUAGGUAGUUGGUGGGGUAAAGGCUCACCAAGCCGACGAUCUGUAGCUGGUCUGAGAGGACGACCCGCCACACUGGGACGGAGAAACGGCCCAGACUCCUACGGGAGGCAGCAGUGGGGAAUUUUGGACAAUGGGCGCAAGCCUGAUCCAGCCAUUCCGCGUGCAGGAUGAAGGCCUUCGGGUUGUAAACUGCUUUUGUACGGAACGAAACGGUUCUCUCUAAUACAGGGGGCUAAUACCCUGUGUGGAUGACGGUACCGGAAUAAGAAGCACCGGCUAACUACGUGCCAGCCGCCGCGGUAAAAC